rnacentral:rRNA from 1 species
AACGCUAGCGGCAGGCCUAACACAUGCAAGUCGAGGGGUAACAGGGAUUAGCUUGCUAAUUUGCUGACGACCGGCGCACGGGUGCGUAACGCGUAUACAAUCUGCCUUAUACUGGGGUAUAGCCUUUAGAAAUGAAGAUUAAUCCCCCAUAGUCUCUUGAGAUGGCAUCAUUUUAGGAGUAAAGGUUACGGUAUAAGAUGAGUAUGCGUUCUAUUAGUUUGUUGGUGAGGUAACGGCUCACCAAGACUACGAUAGAUAGGGGCCCUGAGAGGGGGAUCCCCCACACUGGUACUGAGACACGGACCAGACUCCUACGGGAGGCAGCAGUGAGGAAUAUUGGACAAUGGAGGCAACUCUGAUCCAGCCAUGCCGCGUGCAGGAAGACUGCCCUAUGGGUUGUAAACUGCUUUUAUAUAGGAAGAAACCUUGCUACGUGUACCAAGCUGACGGUACUAUAAGAAUAAGGAUCGGCUAACUC